UACGUAGGGAGCGAGCGUUGUCCGGAAUCAUUGGGCGUAAAGCGCGCGUAGGUGGCUUCGUAAGUCCGUUGUGAAAGUCAAAGGCUCAACCUUUGAAAGCCGAUGGAUACUGCGGAGCUAGAGUACGGAAGAGGCGAGUGGAAUUCCUGGUGUAGCGGUGGAAUGCGCAGAUAUCAGGAGGAACACCGGUGGCGAAGGCGACAUCCUGGACCGGUAUUGACGCUGAGGCGCGAAAGCGUGGGGAGCAAACAGG
rnacentral:rRNA from 1 species